rnacentral:rRNA from 1 species
GAUGAACGCUGGCGGCGUGCCUAAUACAUGCAAGUCGAGCGAACAGACGAGGAGCUUGCUCCUCUGACGUUAGCGGCGGACGGGUGAGUAACACGUGGAUAACCUACCUAUAAGACUGGGAUAACUUCGGGAAACCGGAGCUAAUACCGGAUAAUAUAUUGAACCGCAUGGUUCAAUAGUGAAAGACGGUUUUGCUGUCACUUAUAGAUGGAUCCGCGCCGCAUUAACUAGUUGGUAAGGUAACGGCUUACCAAGGCAACGAUGCGUAGCCGACCUGAGAGGGUGAUCGGCCACACUGGAACUGAGACACGGUCCAGACUCCUACGGGAGGCAGCAGUAGGGAAUCUUCCGCAAUGGGCGAAAGCCUGACGGAGCAACGCCGCGUGAGUGAUGAAGGUCUUCGGAUCGUAAAACUCUGUUAUUAGGGAAGAACAAAUGUGUAAGUAACUAUGCACGUCUUGACGGUACCUAAUCAGAAAGCCACGGCUAACUACGCG